CGCCGACCUGGUCGUGCGCGACGGCGCGCUGUGGAUGCGCUCGCUCGGCAGCCUGGAACGGGUCGACGUGGUGCUGCGCCGCGUCGACGCC
rnacentral:tRNA from 1 species